rnacentral:rRNA from 1 species
CCUACGGGAGGCAGCAGUAGGGAAUAUUGGGCAAUGGAGGCAACUCUGACCCAGCCAUGCCGCGUGCAGGAAGAAGGCGUUAUGCGUUGUAAACUGCUUUUAUAUAGGAAGAAAUAGACCUUGCGAGGUAAGUUGACGGUACUAUAUGAAUAAGCACCGGCUAACUCCGUGCCAGCAGCCGCGGUAAUACGGAGGGUGCAAGCGUUGUCCGGAUUUAUUGGGUUUAAAGGGUGCGUAGGCGGUUUAUUAAGUCAGUGGUGAAAGACGGUCGCUCAACGAUUGCAGUGCCAUUGAUACUGGUAGACUUGAGUGGGAUUGAGGUAGCUGGAAUGGAUAGUGUAGCGGUGAAAUGCAUAGAUAUUAUCCAGAACACCAAUUGCGUAGGCAAGUUACUAAGUCUCAACUGACGCUGAGGCACGAAAGUGUGGGUAUCAAACAGGAUUAGAUACCCUGGUAGUCCACACUGUAAACGAUGAUAACUAACUGUUGCUUUCGGGUCAGUGGUACAGAGAAUCGUUAAGUUAUCCACCGUGGGAGGUAACGGUCCGGCGACGGUUAGUAACGUUACGAAAGGAAGUUAGACGGCGUGAGACGNGCCGACGGACGACGACGAGGGAGGAGG